rnacentral:rRNA from 1 species
CCUACGGGUGGCAGCAGUGAGGAAUAUUGGUCAAUGGACGAGAGUCUGAACCAGCCAAGUAGCGUGAAGGAUGACUGCCCUAUGGGUUGUAAACUUCUUUUAUAAAGGAAUAAAACGAGGCACGUGUGCCUUUUUGCAUGUACUUUAUGACUAAGGAUCGGCUAACUCCGUGCCAGCAGCCGCGGUAAUACGGAGGAUCCGAGCGUUAUCUGGAUUGAUUGGGUUUAAAGUGAGCGUAGAUGGGUUGUUAUGUCAGUUGUGAAAGUUGGCGGCUCAACCGUAAAAUUGCAAUUGAUACUGGCAGUCUAGAGUACAGUAGAGGUGGGCGGAAUUCGUGGUGUAGCGGUGAAAUGCUUAGAUAUCACGAAGAACCCCGAUUGCGAAGGCAGCUUACUAAACUGUGACUGACAUUGAUGCUCGAAAGUGUGGGUAUCAAACAGGAUUAGAUACCCUUGUAGUC